UGAUAUUUCAACGAUCUGCCGACUUUCUUUUGUUUUUAUAAAAGAUUUUUUCGAUCCAUAGUUCCUUGCCGCCAAUCAUUAAUAAUAAUUUUAUUUUUCAAUUUAUCUGUUGAACAAUACAACCAUACAGGUUCUGUUACUGGGGUUUUCAAGCUAAAUGUAAAUCUCAUACUUUUUUUCCUUUUUGUCAACUAUCGAUUUAACUAGAUUAAGUUGUGGUUAAACGAACCGAUUUUUUCGAAAAAUAUCUCUAAAUGUAAAUUUCAUACUUUUUUUUUUGUCAACUACCGAUUUAACUAGACUAAGUUGUGGUUAGAUAAACCAAUUUUUCGAAGGGCAUUUCUGUUUGUCUUUAUCAAAUCUAUAUGUAAAUCUCAUACUUUUUUUGUCAACUACCGAUUUAAUUAGAUUAAAUUGUAGUUAGACUAACUGAUUUUUCAAAAAGUAUAUGUGUAUGUUUUUAUCUAAUCUAUAUGUGAAAAAUACGAUCACUGGUUCUUACUUCUUUGUUGAUGAGUCCGCCAGACAUUUCUACAUCUGAUAGAUAUGAAUGAGCUUCACAUUCUUGAAAUAUUUUUCUAAUUUCUGGAAAACUUCAAUUUUUGAUGCUAAUGUUAGUCCAUCGGAUUCAUCAUCAUGUACGCUAGGUCUAAACAGUUGGUCUUAAAACGGAUCAAGAUUAUAUUUUUGUCUCUCAUGCAUGAACUGCCCACAAUAACAUUUCUAUCAUCAGUGAGGUUUCCACCGCACGUCCAUUAUCUAGACAAGUAUUUUUGUUAUCUCAUCAGUUUAUUAUAACUAUUAAUAUUUUAGGUAUUCUUUUAUCGAUUAGUUAUUUAAAUUAGUUUAGUUACUUUUCAUUUUUUUCACUAGACAAAAUUUGAUCAGGUGGUUGAGCCAAUGAAGGAUUAGAGGCCACCUCCUUAAACUUUUAAAUUUAAUUUAUUAAGACAUAAUUAUAAUAUACAUUUAUCAACUGGUAAAUUUUCAAAGAUUGACUCCUAUAAUUGAUUAACAUUAUUAAUUGUCUUUUAUAACCUUUUUAACAGUGAUUAACAUUAUUAUUAUUAUUUUUGAAAAAGGGCUGACAUUGAUUAACAGUAUUAACUGUUUUUGAUAAUAUUUAUUAAUUGUAGUUAUUAAGAGUAUAAAUAAAUUUUUUCUGCUUUCAUAGUUAGUGAGUGACAUUUUUUUAUAAGAGAAAGUAUUAAUUUUGGAUUUACAUAGAUUUUACAUCCACUUUUAUCAAAUAUAGGAUAAAAUGAUAAAUUUUAAAAUAUUCCAUCUUGAAUCCACGCAUGUUUUAAUAUUACCAUUACAAUAAAAACAAAAUUGGAAAUAUCGUAAAUUAGUGCAACUUUAGAACUUUUAACAAAGAAAAUUAUACAAGAAAAUAUAAAGUAAUAUAUAUAUAUACAAAAUAGAAUCCCAGUAGAUUUUUGUAAUAGUAUAUGGGUUACUGGAUUAGGUAGUUAUUGAGAGUACUUAUUUAUUCGUAGCUUGACACGUAUAUGAAUCAUGUGAUGCACAGUCAUGUAAACGUGGCCAGUACCAAUCAGGGCAUUGACUCUUUUUGUCGGCCAACUUUUUGCCUCAAAAUGUAAAUCUUAACACCCAAAAACGGUAACCAAAUCCUAAUUAAAUUGACCUGGCCUAUUUGAUACUAUUUAUGAAUUAUCUAUUUCCUGAAAACAAAUAUUUCCAAAAUUUAUUUUUCACGUCAAAAUAAUUAAAAAUAAUUAUAAUGAUAGUGCAAAUACAAAUAUCACUGUGACUCGAUCUCAUGUCUAUUAUCGAUUUGCCAAGUUGUGAAACUCAAAUUUAUUUAAAAUAUUUUUCUAGGUUUGACAUUGUAGGUUUCUCCUAUUUAACUAUAUCAUUUCCGAUUUUUGUCAAAAAAAAAACUAUAUCAUUUCCGAUUAGUCAAAAAAAACUAUAUCAUAUCCGAGUUUUUAUUUGUUUUGAGAAAGCAUUUCAGAGUUGAAGAUAAAGAUAUCAUUCUGACAUGGAUGGUUUUUCACCUCAUCAAAAGAAAGAAGGUUGGAACAGAAGAGACAGAGGUCGAUGCAGAAGAGACCAGAGAUGGUGAGGCUCAUGAUGUCAUCAUUGUUGGGGCGGGUGUGGCAGGCGCGGCUCUUGCUUAUGCUCUUGCUAAGGAUGGGCGGUGAGUACAUGUGAUAGAGAGAGACUUGAAAGAACCUCAAAGAUUUAUGGGAGAGCUGAUGCAACCGGGUGGACGCCUCAUGUUAGCUCAGCUUGCAAGCAAAUAGUUACAAAUGCAACAAUAGUUACAAAUUAGUUGCAAAUAUCGAAAAUGUAACUAUUUUGCAACUACUAAAUGUAGUUAAAAAUACUUCGUCGCAAAAAAAGUUAGUUGCAAAUUAGUUGCAAAAGAGCAACUACGGUGAAACUAUUUAAUCGGUGGUAAAUUAGCAACUAAUUUAUAACUAACAGUUGUAGUUGCAUAAAACUUAACACCAACUUUUUCGUUACACAUUAGUCCCAAAAAGAUAGUUACUAAUUAGUCUCAAUUCAAAUUUGGUUAUAAGUUAGUUGCUAAUAUUAGUGACUACAAUAUUUAUAUAUAGUUACAAAUUAGUCACAAGUAUUUAUGAUUAUAUAGCAACAAUAUUAUUUAUAUUUUAACAAAUUAAUGGUUAAUAAAAUAUUAAUUGGAAUCCCUUAAAUUAUAAAAAUUAAUUAUUAAUUAAAAAAAUUUCAGAAUCAAAAUUUCAUAUUGAUAUUAAAUUUAAUUAAAAUUUUAAAUUACAACAAUAAAUACACAAAAACACCAUCAUCAUCUCGUGUGCUCGGACUCCGCCACCCGCUUCUCCACCGGUUCUGGUUUCACGGCUCCACGACGACUCGGAGUGCCCCCUGAAGCGACGACUUGGAGUGGUUCCAUCUGAAGCAACGACUCGAUCUGGUAGUGGAGCCACCGGUGUUGGUCUGAUACAUACAGACUCUACCGUCCCUCCGAUUCGUUAGACCACCUCCAUCUCCGGCGCGUCUGCUCUAUCAGACCACCACUGCUCCUUCCCGUAUUAUAGCUGCUCCUUUUUCUCAGAUCUGUAAAAAAAACAAAAAUCAAUUAGAUUAGCAUAAGGAGAUGAGGAGAAA